UGUUUAUCGGUGGAGAAACCUUGGUCAUUGCACGCCCAUUGGUGCGGAUAGCUGCUAUUUAUGUACAUAUAUAUACAGGGAUGGGGGAAACUCGCUGGAUCUGAUGUAUGAGACCACUCCCUUCUCCCCAGACUCCAUUUUCAACACAACGCGACCAACAUGAGCGUAGAAAUGAGAACAGAACCUGGGACAUCACUGGGUGUGUGCCCUGUGAUCUUUGAGUGUUGUUAAGUGUGGUUAAUGAAGUGUUGAGCUGUAAUUACAUCCUGGCACCUCUCUCAUAGAGACUUGCCUUCUCUCAUUACGUUCAAAGCCCUGGUUACCACAACUGCCGAAGGCCAAGGACUCUCUUUCCUACCUACCCACAUAACAACCACGUUCACCUUGUCAUUUCACCUGGAGGAACGCACAGUCGACCUGAAAAUGCAAUUAAACCUAAUACCCAGUUGCCAGUUACAGAAAAGAGAUGAAGGGGGCUGGAGCUGGGAACUUGUAAUCUAAUUUACAAAUUCUUGAUUCUUCACAGAAUCAUCACUGUGGGCCUCGCCCUCUCAUCUGAUGGCUGUCUGGAUUUUGUCCACGACAUCACUUGUGUGCACGGACUCUAGCCUGUAAAUAAAGGGCCUUAUGUAAGGAUCAGCUUGGAGUGCCGGCAGCACGGGUUGGCCUUGGGGCAACGACUCUCCGCCUGCGGUGCCAUGGAUGCUCUUCCUUCCUCAGUCUCUGCUCUUCUGUGGCCGAUGGACCCACGCCAUCUCAGGUCCCUGAUACCGCCGAGGGACGGAGGGCCUCUCUAGAACUAUUAAUGUUAGUAGACCUAAGCCAUCACCGUUAAGAGGCCAUAACAGUGUCUGAUUCUAUUUACAAUUUCUUUUAUCAACUUAAACACCUUUAUGGUCAUUAAACCACACUUAAAAAGCCAGUAGAUUUUAUUUCCUUGUUCAGUGGUUCUCUUGUACGAAUUAACAAAUAGCCAACGAUCACUUUGGCCUAAUAAAUGAAGUUUGUAAAAAUGA